rnacentral:misc_RNA from 1 species
AUUUACCUGGUAUACAUUUUCAGAAAUUACAUAGUCCUUGCUACUUUUGACAGUGCAACGUUGGAGGGUUUCCCAUGCUUUGGACAAUUUCGUUUUAGUCAUGGAGGCAUUAUUAUUACUUUCAUCCAACGUUAGCUUGUGUCCAUAAGACGUAGGCGUGUAAUAUUGCUGCAAAAAAGCUUAUUGUGAUGCAGAUUUGGCUGCUUGUACCCUUUCUGGAAAGUAUAUUUCGGAAUUCACUAUAAGCUUGGGACUCAUUGAUUUCAUGGAAAUCAAAAAAGCGGUCAACUGAGUAGUGAGUGAGAAUCUGGACCGGCCUAACCCGGCUAAACCGACUACACCUUUGGUAAGUCCUUUAAGCAAAGAUUUCUUCGAGCAAGACAACAAAAACUCAGAAAAAACCCUAACUUGACCCGGAUUCCUCCCAUCGGUAACCGGCAAAGCUAUCGAUUCAACAAUAGCUUUGCCGGUAGACGAUUUAUGAGUAACAGAAUUUAACGGAGAGAGAACACAAGGGCUAGUGGAACAAUCAUCGCUAUUAGUGGAAUGAAAACACUUAGCACAAGCGCGAGAUCCAAUAGCAGAGCAUAAAGGGGAAUUACAGGAAAGAGAACGAUGAGUAGAGGAAUUGGAACAAUCGAUCCAUGAGUAAGAGGCGCUCAAAUCGAGGAUGAGAUUGGUGAGUUGUGGAGGGGAAUUGAGGUAGAGAGAGAGUGUGUAAAGAAGAGUUUCAUGGUCUUUGGUAAUGGAAG